CCUGUUAUACGGCUAACAGUAGCCUAGGGAUAGCGCGUCACUGGCAACGGUGGGGUGUAAAGCUUCCUGACAAUGUACCUUUGCGUAAGCAAUACCCCAACUCGUGAGAGUAGGUAUAGUUCAUGAACAAUACAUGAG
rnacentral:ncRNA from 1 species